CGCAGACUCACCAUGAAGCCCAGUGGCACAAUAGUGAUUGCCUUAAGAAUCCAGGAACGAUCAAUGUUUGAAUAAAUCCUCUACUCAAGGAAUAGGGUCAUGACCUUGUCUGGAAAGGUCAAUGGAGACGAGAUGGGAUCCCUAUUGGCCAGCUGCAGAGUUUACAAAGUACUGGAAACAUACAGCAGGCCAAUUCUGAGACCCUUCAACAGAACUGGCAAAAUCCAAUCUGAUCCCAGGCCACCCUCAACCAAUAACCAGAUCGUCGUUAAUCCAAAGAUUUUUGUCAUCUGCAGUUUUUGAUCUUCAUCAUCUGCUGAUAAUGACACUGUGAUUAUGAAAUGCAG